UAGCUCAGUUGGUAGAGCAUGGUGUUUGCAACGCCAGGGUUGUGGGUUCGAUUCACAC
rfam:Salmo salar isolate Sally breed double haploid chromosome ssa05, whole genome shotgun sequence.